CUUGAGAGAGGUCAGGAUCACAAAUUCCACUUCCACCUUCAUGUACCCCCGCCCCACAAUUAUUUUGGUUCAAGGGCAGCCAUGCGUGCAGGUGAGGUGGCCCUGGAGCACCUCGACGGAGCCCAGGAAGCCGUUGCCUGUGGUACCUCGGCGUGGCGAGGCCGCACACGUGGCACUUGCCCGCCGGCGUGAGCAUGUCGCGGCAGGACGAGCAAGCCGCAUGGCCCUCGUCGUACUGCAGGGGGCAUAUGUGUGUCCACAAGAAGAAAAUAAC
rnacentral:lncRNA from 1 species